rnacentral:rRNA from 1 species
GAGUUUGAUCUUGGCUCAGAACGAACGCUGGCGGCAUGCCUAACACAUGCAAGUCGAACGAACUCUUCGGAGUUAGUGGCGCACGGGUGCGUAACGCGUGGGAAUCUGCCCUUGGGUACGGAAUAACUCAGAGAAAUUUGUGCUAAUACCGUAUAAUGACUUCGGUCCAAAGAUUUAUCGCCCAAGGAUGAGCCCGCGUAAGAUUAGCUAGUUGGUGGGGUAAAGGCCUACCAAGGCUACGAUCUUUAGCUGGUCUGAGAGGAUGAUCAGCCACACUGGGACUGAGACACGGCCCAGACUCCUACCGGGAGGCAGCAGUGGGGGAAUAUUGGACAAUGGGCGGAAAGCCUGAUCCAGCAAUGCCGCGUGAGUGAUG